UACGGAGGGUGCAAGCGUUAUCCGGAUUCACUGGGUUUAAAGGGUGCGUAGGUGGGCUGGUAAGUCAGUGGUGAAAUCUCCAGGCUUAACUUGGAAACUGCCAUUGAUACUAUCAGUCUUGAAUAUUGUGGAGGUCAGCGGAAUAUGUCAUGUAGCGGUGAAAUGCUUAGAUAUGACAUAGAACACCGAUUGCGAAGGCAGCUCACUAAACUGUAACUGACGCUGAGGCACGAAAGCGUGGGGAGCAAACAGG
rnacentral:rRNA from 1 species